AAACAGGAUUAGAUACCCUGGUAGUCCACGCCGUAAACGAUGAGUACUAAACGUUGGGUAAAACCAGUGUUGAAGUUAACACAUUAAGUACUCCGCCUGAGUAGUACGUACGCAAGUAUGAAACUUAAAGGAAUUGACGGGACUCCGCACAAGCGGUGGAUCAUGUUGUUUAAUUCGAAGGUACCCGAAAAACCUCACCAGGUCUUGACAUGCUUCUGCAAAGCUGUAGAAACACAGUGGAGGUUAUCAGUUGCACAGGUGGUGCAUGGUUGUCGUCAGCUCGUGUCGUGAGAUGUUGGGUUAAGUCCCGCAACGAGCGCAACCCUUAUUGUUAGUUACCAGCACGUAAUGGUGGGGACUUUAGCAAGACUGCCAGUGAUAAAUUGGAGGAAGGUGGGGAUGACGU
rnacentral:rRNA from 1 species